rnacentral:rRNA from 1 species
GACGAACGCUGGCGGCGUGCUUAACACAUGCAAGUCGAACGGAAAGGCCCUGCUUUUGUGGGGUGCUCGAGUGGCGAACGGGUGAGUAACACGUGAGUAACCUGCCCCUGACUUUGGGAUAACUUCAGGAAACUGGGGCUAAUAUCGGAUAGGAGCUCCUGCUGCACGGUGGGGGUUGGAAAGUUUCGGCGGUUGGGGAUGGACUCGCGGCUUAUCAGCUUGUUGGUGAGGUAGUUGCUUACCAAGGCUUUGACGGGUAGCCGGCCUGAGAGGGUGACCGGCCACAUUGGGACUGAGAUACGGCCCAGACUCCUACGGGAGGCAGCAGUGGGGAAUAUUGCACAAUGGGCGGAAGCCUGAUGCAGCAACGCCGCGUGCGGGAUGACGGCCUUCGGGUUGUAAACCGCUUUCGCCUGUGACGAAGCGUGAGUGACGGUAAUGGGUAAAGAAGCACCGGCUAACUACGUG